rnacentral:misc_RNA from 1 species
GAAUUGGAAUUGUUCCCUGCACUACCCACGCGGUGCAUUGCAAUAACACAGGGAAGUGAUGGAAUUCGAGGGAGAGAGAGAGAGAGUAUGUGUGGGUGUUUUGUGGGAAUCUGAGAGCGUAUAAUUGAAGAGAUUGAGAGUUGGAAAAACCCUAGAGGAUUGUUUUUGUGUCUUUGCUUUGUUUGGCUUUGUUUUGUUCUUUGAGGUUUACAUAGUUGAGAGAGGAGAG